UGAUGUGGCUAUCUGCUUGUCAACGUCCAAUCCCGUCUGAUCUUGGAAGCUAAGCGAGGCUGGGUGUGGUUAUUCCUUGGAAUGAAGACUGCUGGGAAAACCAGGUGUGACAAUAG
rnacentral:rRNA from 1 species